rnacentral:rRNA from 1 species
UACGGAGGGUGCAAGCAUUAAUCGGAUUUAUUGGGCGUAAAGGGCGCGUAGGCGGGAACAUAAGUCAGAUGUGAAAUCCCGGGGCUUAACCCCGGAACAGCAUUUGAAACUGUGUUUCUAGAGGAUAGGCGGAGAAAACGGAAUUCCACAAGUAGCGGUGAAAUGCGUAGAUAUGUGGAAGAACACCUGUGGCGAAAGCGGUUUUCUAGCUUAUACCUGACGCUGAGGCGCGAAAGCAAGGGGAUCAAACAGG